rnacentral:tRNA from 1 species
GGCAAUGCAAUUCAAUGGUAGAGUAUUUGUUUAACAUGCAUAAAACCCUGGGUUUCAUUCCCAGCAUUGCAA